rnacentral:rRNA from 1 species
UCUUUUCCUUUUGUGCCCGCCGCCGCGGUAAAACGUAGGUCACAAGCGUUGUCCGGAAUUACUGGGUGUAAAGGGAGCGCAGGCGGGAAGACAAGUUGGAAGUGAAAUCUAUGGGCUCAACCCAUAAACUGCUUUCAAAACUGUUUUUCUUGAGUAGUGCAGAGGUAGGCGGAAUUCCCGGUGUAGCGGUGGAAUGCGUAGAUAUCGGGAGGAACACCAGUGGCGAAGGCGGCCUACUGGGCACCAACUGACGCUGAGGCUCGAAAGUGUGGGUAGCAAACAGG